rnacentral:rRNA from 1 species
AUGAACGCUAGCUACAGGCUUAACACAUGCAAGUCGAGGGGCAGCAUGGUCUUAGCUUGCUAAGACUGAUGGCGACCGGCGCACGGGUGAGUAACACGUAUCCAACCUGCCGUCUACUCUUGGACAGCCUUCUGAAAGGAAGAUUAAUACAAGAUGGCAUCAUGAGUCCGCAUGUUCACAUGAUUAAAGGUAUUCCGGUAGACGAUGGGGAUGCGUUCCAUUAGAUAGUAGGCGGGGUAACGGCCCACCUAGUCUUCGAUGGAUAGGGGUUCUGAGAGGAAGGUCCCCCACAUUGGAACUGAGACACGGUCCAAACUCCUACGGGAGGCAGCAGUGAGGAAUAUUGGUCAAUGGGCGAGAGCCUGAACCAGCCAAGUAGCGUGAAGGAUGACUGCCCUAUGGGUUGUAAACUUCUUUUAUAAAGGAAUAAAGUCGGGUAUGGAUACCCGUUUGCAUGUACUUUAUGAAUAAGGAUCGGCUAACUCCGUGCCAGCAGCCGCGGUAAUACGGAGGAUCCGAGCGUUAUCCGGAUUUAUUGGGUUUAAAGGGAGCGUAGAUGGAUGUUUAAGUCAGUUGUGAAAGUUUGCGGCUCAACCGUAAAAUUGCAGUUGAUACUGGAUAUCUUGAGUGCAGUUGAGGCAGGCGGAAUUCGUGGUGUAGCGGUGAAAUGCUUAGAUAUCACGAAGAACUCCGAUUGCGAAGGCAGCCUGCUAAGCUGCAACUGACAUUGAGGCUCGAAAGUGUGGGUAUCAAACAGGAUUAGAUACCCUGGUAGUCCACACGGUAAACGAUGAAUACUCGCUGUUUGCGAUAUACGGCAAGCGGCCAAGCGAAAGCGUUAAGUAUUCCACCUGGGGAGUACGCCGGCAACGGUGAAACUCAAAGGAAUUGACGGGGGCCCGCACAAGCGGAGGAACAUGUGGUUUAAUUCGAUGAUACGCGAGGAACCUUACCCGGGCUUAAAUUGCAGAUGAAUUACGGUGAAAGCCGUAAGCCGCAAGGCAUCUGUGAAGGUGCUGCAUGGUUGUCGUCAGCUCGUGCCGUGAGGUGUCGGCUUAAGUGCCGUAACGAGCGCAACCCUUGUUGUCAGUUACUAACAGGUUCCGCUGAGGACUCUGACAAGACUGCCAUCGUAAGAUGUGAGGAAGGUGGGGAUGACGUCAAAUCAGCACAGCCCUUACGUCCGGGGCUACACACGUGUUACAAUGGGGGGUACAGAGGGCCGCUACCACGCGAGUGGAUGCCAAUCCCCAAAACCUCUCUCAGUUCGGACUGGAGUCUGCAACCCGACUCCACGAAGCUGGAUUCGCUAGUAAUCGCGCAUCAGCCACGGCGCGGUGAAUACGUUCCCGGGCCUUGUACACACCGCCCGUCAAGCCAUGGGAGCCGGGGGUACCUGAAGUGCGUAACCGCGAGGAGCGCCCUAGGGUAAAACUGGUGUCUGGGGCU